rnacentral:lncRNA from 1 species
GGGAAAAACAAACAAACAAACAGUUUCAUUUCACUUUUGAUCCGGAAUUGUCAAACAUUUGUUUUCCCUGAAUUCUGGGGCUGUCUGCCUGUUGGCAUCUCUGUCUUCGCGUCGGGGCAUCUCUCUCGGGGGUCUCUCUCCCUCCGAGCUGGACCGCCCCUCUCCUCCCCCUCCCCCUCCCGGCGGAGACUGAGAUUCUGGCGCGAGGAGCCCGCAGCCGGCCGCCUGUUCUAUCUCUCACUUGCUACCUGAAUACUACUACUUAAUACUGCUACUUUCCACUUAAUUCAUCUUCCCACUUAUCAUUCACCUGGUUCUUACUCGAGUUUCAAUAAAACCCUCCGCCGGUUACGUCUCGCACGCAUUCCCCGCUUUUUUACGCUCGCUGUCUUUUCCGAAGGCAAAAGAAAAGCGCGCCGCGUCACCGCACGCAAUUUUUUCUCGUUUUUCGCAAAAUUUCCUCUUCAUUUCUCAACGAAUUUACGGAAAAUUUCGUCUCGAUAGGAAAAUUUGGGUGGACUGACAGUUUCCCUCUAGUGUCUUCGUCGAGUUGUUUUGUGCUGUUUCUCGGGUGAAAAAUUCGAACAUCUUAAAUUUGGGGCUAAAAUUUGACAAAUUUUAAGUUUUCCCUCGGAAUUCGUCUUUUUGUCUCGGGGCAGGGUAUCAUUUCCCAGUGUUUCGGCCGAAUUCCAGUGACCUCUGUGCUCUCGAAAGGACUUCAGUGAAGUUUCAUGCCACCGCGAGGCAGUGACUCGUUCGUGAGAUGGACGCUCGGGAAAGACCCCUCCCGGAAAGCUACAGGACCCUCGUUCGUGUCCACGCUCCAGCCCCGGCGCGCCGGUAGAAGGUACUCGUGAAAAGUUCGCGCCCAAGUGCUCCACACAUUCCAGCCGCCAUGAACGCUGACACUCUGAGAAGACUGAGCGGUGUGUCGCUAGCCACCGCGCUUAGGAUAGUUCUAGCCUUAAGUUGUUUAAGUAGCCUAAUCCAGGCCCGACCGCGGGUACAUCACAGCGAGGAGGAGCCCUCCUCGGAGGAGGCGGGGGAAGGGGACGAAGCUAGUCAUGAUCUCAUUGUCAAAUUGUUGUUGGACUUGGUGAACGUGUUGCCGUCGGAUAAGUUGAGCGAGCUGGACGCGGUGCUGACCCGUGGGAUGAUGGAGAUGCCGCAAGCGGAUGAGUCGGGCAAGGUGCCUGAGGAUACAGUCGACGUGCAGGACCAAGAACUCAAAGACAAGGACCCGCCACCGACCCCAGAGCGCGACCCCUACGCUCGCGAAUUCCUGGACCCCGCCAACUCCACCGCCGCACCCACCGUCAGGUUCGAGACUGCCAAACUGCCCGGAAUACGCGAGAGUGAUAAUGACACUCUUGAUAUACAAAGGGAUAAGAACGUGACCUUAUCGUCGAUAAAGGACAAGAUCCUAGCAUUUCUUUGGCAGUCUGGUCGAAAGCCAGGCAACUGGAGCGAUGCGAAGCCUCAGCACAAAGAGAUGCUGAAUAAUGUACUGAAGACGAUACCAGUUUCUGGUGUUGAGGAUGCCACCGAGAAAGUUCAGAGUUACUUCCCUUCGUGUAGCGUGCCAACUGACACGGAUGAAGAGUUAUGGAAUAAUGGAAAAAUGAUGAACCUGGUGUUCAAUGUGAGCUUUCCACCCCCUGCCCCUCCACCCAACGCCAUCAAUGGAACUGCCACUUUGGUCACGGGAGCCAAAUUGCGACUAUAUUUCAAGGCCAAUUCAUCGAUGACACUAUCAGAAAACUGCUCGCAAACGGCAAACGAUGACCAAAAAGCUAUCAAAUUUUGCAGUGUUCGAAUUGGUGAAACUGCAGCCGGGGCUUCCGAGGACAGACAGUUUCGGGUCUCCAUUCAUAGAUAUACGAAACCUCUGAAAAAACAAGAAAAAACGAAGAGGACAAUCAGUCUGUUGGACAGUCGGAUGGUGACGCUGGGAAGUGAAACUUGGGCUGAAUUUGACGUCAAAAAGGCCGCUAGAGCGUGGGGGAAGUCAAAAAAUUUCGGCCUCGCUGUUCAAGUUGAGGAUUUAGCAAAAACCACCCUUCCGGCUGAUAGGUAUUUCGUCACGAUGAACUGCUCCAAAGAAGCACGAUCAGCGCUGCCGAUGCCAGGGUUCGUGCUGGACGCGACGCGGGAGGCGUCCAACUCGUCGUGGAGCCCGGAGCUGUACCAGACGCUGUACCCGACGCUGGAAGUGACGACGACGGAGAUGAGCGAGGAGCAGCAGCAGAAGCUGAGCAUCGAGGAGGCGCUCAGGAAGCUCAACGCGAGCGGGAUCGCGGCCGUGCGCAGCCCGAGCCACGCGUCGUCGGCCACGGCCGGCGCCGCGUCCAAGCGCAGCGGCGGCCCCGCGAUCAGCCUCUACGAGCAGGAGAAACACAAGCUCCGACACCAGAAGCAGCGCAAGCUCAUCGAAGCCGCCGCCACCGCCGAGACCCUACCCGACGCCCCCGCCCCCAAACCCCUCCAUUUCCCGAAGUUCACCUCGUGA